rnacentral:lncRNA from 1 species
CUUCAUGGGGGUAGAGGGGGAAUGGUUUAAAAGUUGACAACACCUCCCAAGGGAAUAGCAGGUGCUGUGUGUUAAAUGCUCUGCCAGGUGACUUCACUUCAUCAUCAUAGCACUGAUGAAGGAGUAACAUCAUUGCCUUUUUUUCAGGAGGAAAUCCAAGCUGGGGGAAUUAAAUAAUUCUGUUAGGGUGACAUUCUUAACAAGUGACCAGCCCAAUUUUAAACCCCAGCAUUGUCCCUACAGGCUCUCUGCUCUUCAGCCACCAUGCAAGACAAUUUCAGCCAUAGAACCUAUGGACACUGCCCUUUGGGCAAAGGACACAGAGGGAGCUGUCAUGCAUAAAGUUAUCAGCACUCAAGAUGAAAAACGGAAGCCCUUCCUCGAGGCAGUCCACCUGCCUGGCAAACAGUUGUUUUUUUAAGUAGGUAAGACCUCCCAGAUCCUGGAGAGAAAUGUGUACCUUGUGGCUAGAAGACCUUUCAGGAGCACAGCUUGGGUGGGCAUUUUGAAGGAAUGGCUCUUUUUAUUUUUUUUCCCUAUAUUUCCUGCAUAGUUUUAACUGGGCUUUUGCAGAGAAAGAAAUACCCAAUCUAGAGCCAUCAGCCUGGAGUUUUACCCAGAAAGGGGUAGGGCGGGGGCGGAGUGGAGAAACAAACAAACAAACUACUCACCACUGGCUCCUCAGAGGCUGCAUACAAUGAUCUUGACCUGAUGUCUGCAUUAGAAUUGCCUGCCAGCCUCAGGGCAUUUUCCCUCGGGAGAAAGGGGCUUUACCAUCCAGGGCCAUCUGGUGGGGCUGCAAAGGACAUCCAUAUGGCAAAUAGGGGUGAAACACACCAGAC